rnacentral:lncRNA from 1 species
GGAGUCCUUUUACUUCUCAGCUGAGGGCGAUCAGGUCAAGCUGGUACAGGUGUCUGGGGCAUGGCGCAACAUCCAGAGAAAGGGCAAGGUUCCGUUUGGCAAAGUCAACAGCCGGUAUUUUCCUUUAUUCGAUGAUUGGCUUCGGAAGAGGAUUGAGUCUACAUUUCUACCAUUUCCGGGGGGUGAUCCUGUGUGUCCUAUGAUUGAGGGUCCAAGUUCUUCUGUCAGCAUGGAAGAAUUCCUCGAGAUGAAGAGGGCCAG